UCACCUCCAGGUCCGCCGGCAGGACGUUA
rnacentral:sRNA from 1 species